GGAUUAGAUACCCUGGUAGUCCACGCCGUAAACGAUGGUUACUAGCUGUUGGACCGAUUGAGGUUCAGUGGCCAAGCGAAAGUGAUAAGUAACCCACCUGGGGAGUACGUUCGCAAGAAUGAAACUCAAAGGAAUUGACGGGGGCCCGCACAAGCGGUGGAGCAUGUGGUUUAAUUCGAUGAUACGCGAGGAACCUUACCAGGGCUUAAAUGCAGUUGGACAGGGGUGGAAACACCCCCUUCUUCGGACUGAUUGCAAGGUGCUGCAUGGUUGUCGUCAGCUCGUGCCG
rnacentral:rRNA from 1 species